rnacentral:rRNA from 1 species
CAAUAGCGUAUAUUAAAGUUGUUGCGGUUAAAAAGCUCGUAGUUGGAUUUCUGCUGAGAACGACCGGUCCGCCCUUUGGGUGUGUAUCUGGCUCUUUCUUGGCAUCUUCUUGGUGAACGUUGCUGCACUUGACUGUGUGGAGCGCUACCCAGGACUUUUACUUUGAGGAAAUUAGAGUGUUUCAAGCAGGCAUACGCCUUGAAUACAUUAGCAUGGAAUAAUAAGAUAGGACCUCGGUUCUAUUUUGUUGGUUUCUAGAGCUGAGGUAAUGAUUAAUAGGGAUAGUUGGGGGCAUUCGUAUUUAACUGUCAGAGGCGAAAUUCUUGGAUUUGUUAAAGACGGACUACUGCGAAAGCAUUUGCCAAGGAUGUUUNCAUUG